CACAAAGACCCUUGCGGAGGCAUGAAGAGGCCCUCGAUUGAUUAAAUGGUGCCCAGCCACGCUGGAUGAGGCCUGAUCUUCCUUACUCAACCUACGGAUUCCAAUGUCAAUCUGUUCUGGACUACCCUCACAGAUAUAUCCAAAAUUAAUGCUUUACCAGGUACCUGAGUAUCCUUAACCCAGUCAAAUUGACCCAUAAAGUUAACCAUCACACAGUGUUUCUCCAAUGUGUAUUAUCACAUGAGUGGUAAAAUAUGAAGAAUAAAUGAAGGAUUUUUCAUAUUGUUUACAAUUAUAGAGGCUGUCUUCGGUGUUUGUUCUCACAUUUCUAUUGAAAGAAGAGGGCAAACUGUAUACUUGCCCAUCUUUCUUACAUGCAUAAAGUUCCUUUUUGGUUUAUUUUCAUUUGAACAGGAAGUUUUGAGGAAUAAAUGAAGGCUUUUCUUCAUUCUCUAUAUUGAUAAAUCCUCUCUCCAACGUUAGUUCUUACAUGUACAGCAAGAGAUCUGGAAGAAAUCAAGCCUAUCUCACAUUCUUUUAUAUCCAUAGGGUAAAUUACAAUAUGAGUUAUCACAUAUGCCCUAAAGGAUUAGGGGCAACUCAAGGUUUUUCUACAUUUUUAUGUUAAUAAGAUUUCUCUUCAGUGAGAGUUUUCACAUGUUUUCUAAAAGAUUAAAGAAAAUUGAAAGCUUUUUCACAUUUCUUAUACUCAUAAGGCUUAUCUCCACUGUCUAC
rnacentral:lncRNA from 1 species